AGUUACCUGCCGGUAAUGAUGAAGCGUACAGUGUGAUUACCUCAGUACCUGCUGCUGACUGUCCUACUGGUUUGGAUAAAUCGAAAAUGCAAGAGUUUCAAAAUGAAGACUCUGACAUAUACCAUGUGUACUCCACCAUGUCUGAGGAGCCACCUCCAUCAGCCCUGAAGGACAUGGUGUACAGCACCCUGCAGGCACAUUGAAACAAAAACGUGUUAAUACUGUAUAGAGAAACAGAACGCAGACAGCCUUAAGAACUGUUUCAAAUGAUGUGUAAUUUUUAAACUUGUCCUUUAUAGUGUAACCUAUGAUCUAGGGAGGAAAAUUGAUGUAUCUGCCAUGAAUGAACAAAUUCUUAGCUGGAUGGCUUCUUAUCUGUCAGAGAGGGACCAGCAGGUUGGGUAGGGUGUUACUUCUCUGAGCCUUUGCCCGUCACUUGCGGAGUGCC
rnacentral:lncRNA from 1 species